rnacentral:rRNA from 1 species
AGAUGUUGGGUUAAGUCCCGUAACGAGCGCAACCCUUGUCCUUAGUUACCAGCACGUUAUGGUGGGCACUCUAAGGAGACUGCCGGCGACAAACCGGAGGAAGGUGGGGAGUGACGUCAAGUCAUCAUGGCCCUUACGGCCUGGGCUACACACGUGCUACAAUGGUCGGUACAAAGGGCAGCUACCUGGUGACAGGAUGCUAAUCUCAAAAGCCGGUCUCAGUUCGGAUCGGAGUCUGCAACUCGACUCCAUGAAGUUGGAAUCGCUAGUAAUCGUGGAUCAGCAUGCCACGGUGAAUACGUUCCCGGGCCGUU